rnacentral:lncRNA from 1 species
GCCAGCAACUCUCCCUCUCUUUUUUCACCUGAACAGCUCCUGGUCAUUCUGCAGACACAACUUUGAGAUCACUGAUUCCCAGCAGCCUCCCCUGACCCCCAGGAAGAAGUGUCCCUUCUCCAUGGCCCCGUAUCACUUUAUCUCUUCCCUGCCUGUUUCUCUCCUCCACAGUCCCCACCCUUCCACCCCCAGAUUCUGCUAAGCUCCUCCGGACAGGUGCUGUGACAUUUUUAAGAUUCUGUGGGAUGCAAAUUGGAGAAACCAAACAAGCUGGCUUAAAGAUAAAAGGGGGAAGUUAUCAGAAAGGUCUGGUGGUGUCUUAUGGAACCUGGAGUCACAGGGUGCAGGGAAUCAGAAUUAGCAGCUAGAAGGAGUUAGGAAAGCCAGGCUGCAUUCUCUCCAAACCUUGUGUCUCUGUCUUUUCAGUGUUUUCCUUCUCUCUCUCUCUCUCUCUCUCUCCCUCCCCAGAGCUCAUGGUCCCAGUGGCAGGACGUCCGUUAUGCAGGUCCAGCAGUAUGGAGUUGCUCCUGCUCCUGCCCCUCCACAUCCCCAGGGAACAGAUGCUUCUGGCAGGUUGGUGUUGGAUGAACAUGAAGUCCUGGCCCAGCAAACCAUGAAGCUGAGCUGAGAGGUCACACUGAGAGGAGGUGACAGGGGAGCCUCUCCACCUGGAGUCACAGGCUGCAGGAAAGAGGAGCACACUUCACAAUAUAAAGCCACCCCCACUGCAACUUGGGCCCAGAAAGCCUGCCAAAACCAGGGAUGCUGCUCCAGGUCCUGUUACAUCCACUCUGCAGAAAAGACACAUUCCUCAGUGGAUUGACUGCCCCAGGAGCACAGGGACCUGGCAGUUCUGGUAAGUGCCACCUUGCUGAUCCAGAGCCCUCAUCCUCAGGCUUUGCUCUCCAUCCAUUUGGAAAGCAAAUCCACUCUAGGCACUGCCACCAGAGGGAUUGAAUACAGGGAUUUGGUUGCACUGGGGAUGGAAGAGCUAGGGGCCAUGGAGGGACCUGUGAGGCAGUCAAGAUACUGGCAAGAGCAGCAAGUCCAAGGCAGGCUAUUCCUCUGGCCCAGAGCCAGGUGGGCUGCCCAGCAAAGGCAGGACAGGGAGGUUAUCCCCAGGGAGCUGGAAGCACAGAGGAGACUCAGAGGGAACGAGGAGGUGUAGGUAGCUGCUCUUCCAUGUGCCACCCUACCUCCUGUUGACCCAGUGCUUCCCAUGAGUGAGACCUGGGCAGGAGCCAGUAUGCAGGGGACACUGGCAGUGUUUUCAGAGAAGAGCAGGGCCUGGGUCUGAGGACAAUCCCAUGUUCUGCCCCACCCCCAGCUAAAGGAGGAGAAGUUACCUUCCUCCAGACGGGCCCACCUCCUUCGCCUACACCUCCCUUCCCUCUUCCUUUCUCAGAAGGGCCGCCUGAGGACCCUAAGCCUCCUUCUGCCCCUCCCUCUUCUUCAAGGCAGCUGGCAAC